CAAUGGCGAUGAGUGCUUAGCGAACAAGCGGCACAGAAUCCAUAACAGCACAUCUAGCUGAUUGGAUGCUGAGCCCUCCGCCCCCAACUGCUGCACCGUCGCAUCCCAAACCUUCCAAACCUUGACAUAUGAUGACCAAGUGCCUGGUGCCAGCAAAUUUUCUAUAUACUCUCCAAGCAGGACAUCCCGAGGUGCCACAUCUCCUCCGGAUAGGCUUGCCCCGUUUCCCUCGCCUCCCGUGCCGCUUCACGAAAACGGUCCUACUGAAAACGAGACAGCGCAUCAGCCACUACAUUCGUCAGACCCGGAAUAUGCUUAGCCCUGAACACAAUAUUAAAUGUCAU